CCAAAUUAGGGUUUUAAUAUUCCGAAUUAGGGUUUUGGAUUCUCGAAAUCUAAAAUUAGGGUUUUCAGAACCGGUUUCUAGGGUUUCUUGUAAAUCAUUAGGGUUUUCUAACUGAACGUCGAUGUUCUUAAUAUAUGGUUAGGGUUUGGACAUUGAUAUAAUUUAUCUGGUCAACCAUUGACCCUUAACCACAUUCAGUACACAUAUAUGACCACACACACAGAACUUAUACACUUAUACCCUUAAAAUUGUAAACCUUCAUAAUUUUUUUUUAAAUUCACAAAAUUCC
rnacentral:lncRNA from 1 species